AGGUGCAAUCAUACUAGAACUAAUGCAUUGGAACCCAACAUAACAUCACAAUUAAGCAUGGUUGGACAAGAGUAGUACUAGGAUGGGUGUCCUCAUGUAAAGUCCUCAUGUGGCACCUC
rnacentral:rRNA from 2 species